rnacentral:tRNA from 1 species
UCCUUGGUGAUCCAGUGGCUAAGACUCUGUACUCCCAAUACAGGGGGCCUGGGUUCAAUCCCUGGUCAGGGAA